CUACGGGGUGCUGCAGUCGAGAAUCUUCCGCAAUGGACGAAAGUCUAACGGAGCGACGCCGCGUGCGGGAUGAAGGCCUUCGGGUUGUAAACCGCUGUCAGUGGGGAGGAAAUGCAUCAGGGUUCUCCCUGGUGUUUGACCGAUCCGCAGAGGAAGCGCAGGCUAAGUUCGUGCCAGCAGCCGCGGUAACACGAACUGCGCGAACGUUAUUCGGAAUCACUGGGCUUAAAGAGUUCGUAGGCGGCCUUUCAAGUCGGGUGUGAAAUCCCUCGGCUCAACCGAGGAAUUGCGCCUGGUACUGGUGGGCUUGAGGGGGAUAGGGGUGAGCGGAACUGAUGGUGGAGCGGUGAAAUGCGUUGAUAUCAUCAGGAACACCGGUGGCGAAGGCGGCUCACUGGAUCUCUUCUGACGCUGAGGAACGAAAGCUAGGGGAGCGAACGGGAUUAGAUACCCCCGUAGUC
rnacentral:rRNA from 1 species